UCGAAUCCUAUUUCUAUCACCA
rnacentral:misc_RNA from 1 species